rnacentral:rRNA from 1 species
GAUGAACGCUGGCGGCGUGCCUAAUACAUGCAAGUCGAGCGAACAGACGAGGAGCUUGCUCCUCUGACGUUAGCGGCGGACGGGUGAGUAACACGUGGAUAACCUACCUAUAAGACUGGGAUAACUUCGGGAAACCGGAGCUAAUACCGGAUAAUAUAUUGAACCGCAUGGUUCAAUAGUGAAAGACGGUUUUGCUGUCACUUAUAGAUGGAUCCGCGCCGCAUUAGCUAGUUGGUAAGGUAACGGCUUACCAAGGCAACGAUGCGUAGCCGACCUGAGAGGGGGAUGGGCCACACGGAACCUAGACACCGUUCCAGACCCUAACGGAGGGCAGCGGUGGGAAACCUUCCGAAAUGGGCGAAAGCCUGACGAGGCAACGCCGCGUAGGUAAUAAAGGUCUUCGGAUCGUAAAACUCUGUAAUAGGGAAGAACAAAUGUGUAAGUAACUAUGCACGUCUUGACGGUACCUAAUCAGAAAGCCACGGCUAACUACGUG